UAUCUUUUGGUGCUAUAUUUGUACCCUACUUCAAACUUGUAAGAUAAUUCUUACAAUUAUUCUCUCAAUAUCCAAAUUUGCCACAAAAUAAAUAGCUAAUAGACAUCUUUUGCCUUUUCAUUAUUACUGACCAUCCCAAGGUCAAAAAUAUCCAGAACAUCAGAGUUCUUCUUUAAUAUUAACCUAACUUGCAAGUUCCUCAACCAA
rnacentral:lncRNA from 1 species